rnacentral:ncRNA from 1 species
GGCGCAUGGGAUUAAAAGGGAAUGCCGUGAAAACCGGCAACAGUUCCCGCUGCUGUGAGUUACGCCAUGCGUUCCGGCACUCUUUGGCCACUGUCCCAACGGACGGGAAGGCGCCGGAACGGUAACGAGUCAGAAGACCUGCCGCUGCAAUU